GCCGAAUACAGCCCGCACACGUCGCAGCUUUAAAUAUGUAGGGCCGUGGGGCCCGGCGCUCCCUUCCAUCCAUGGACCGAAUGUAUCUUCUCUUCCUACUCCUUCACCUCCGAGGGGAAGAAGAUGCAAGUCAGCCCCAUCCGUAUCCCAACUGUUAGCAAUGACAUCGACUGGGAUUUCUGCUUCCGUAUGUCACAGCAAACCGAGAUCCCAGCUCACCAGCAGACAGAUGAGUUGUAUCCCACUGGUGGGUGUGGAGAGAGUGAAGAGGAAACUAAAGCUAAAGAGGAGGAGAAGGUCAUAGACUGUAUGUCUCAUCCCAAAGAGAAAUUAGCCCAAUCCCAGAAGAAAGUAGCUCAGCUGAUUAAGGAAAAAAUGGCCUCCCAGUUCAGGCCAAGAAACAUGCUGCAUCAGCCAAGAAUACACUGUUGACCUGGAAGGCAAAUAUGACCUCAGAUAAGGAGAAAGAGGAAAUCCUGGAAGCUCUGGUC
rnacentral:sRNA from 1 species